rnacentral:rRNA from 1 species
GGAAGGCAGCAGGCGCGCAAAUUACCCAAUUUUAGCAAAAAAGAGGUAGUGACAAGAAGUAUAUUUUUUAAAAAAUAUAAAAAAUAAAAGGUAAAAUUAAUUAUUUAAUUUAAUUAGAGGGAAAGUCUGGUGCCAGCAGCCGCGGUAAUUCCAGCUCUAAUAGUGUAUGUUAUAUUUGCUUGAGGUUAAAACGCUCGUAGCUAAUAGUUAUUAAAAUAAAUAAUAUUUUAAUAAGUAACCAUGAUUAAAACAAAGUGAUUAAAGCAAUUUUUUNAUGGGAUCAAAUGAUUUUGCAUGGUAAUCAAAAUAAACAAAAUUUUGAUGGCAUUUGGAUUUUAUGGGGAGGGGUAAAAUCUGAAAAUCCAUAAAGGACAAACAGAGGCGAAGGCGAUUGUCACAAAAUGAUUGAUUAGCAAAGAGGGAAAGUGCGGGGAGUGAAAACGAUUAGAUACCGUUGUAAUCCGGAACUGUAAGCUAUGCCGGUUAUUUUUAUGUUUAAUAUAUAAAGAUAGGAGAAAUUUAUGAACCAGGUUCCUGGGGGAGUAUGGUCACAAGACUGAAACUUGAACGAAUUGACGGAAGGGCACCACCAGGAGUGGAGCGUGCGGUUUAAUUUGACUCAACACGGGAAAACUUACCAGGGCCGACACUUUUAGGAGUGACAGGCUGCAGGUCUUUUAUGAGAAGUGAUUUGUGGUGCAUGGCCGUUCUUGGCUCGUAUUGUUAAACGUCUGGUUGAUUCCGAUAACGAGCGAGAUGGGAAAUUUAUAUUUUAAUAUAAAUGAUAUUUGUUGUAAAACAAAAGAAAAACCGCGAUAACAGGUCUGUGAUGCCCUUAGAUGUCCUGGGCUACACGCGCGCUACAAUAAUAUUAUUAAAAACUUAUAAAGAAUAAGAAAAUUAUUUUUAAAAGAUUUAAAUAAUAUUGUAGUGAGGAUUGUUUNAUGUAAGAUUACAUGAAUGAGGAAUUCCUUGUAAGCAGGUGUCAGCAACAUAUGCUGAAUAGGUCCCUGCCCUUUGUACACACCGCCCGUCGNUACUACCGAUGAUUGAAAAAGUAAGAGUGCUGGAUAGCAAGGUAUAGCUAACUUUUUCAUUUAGAGGAAGUACAAGUCG